GGAUUAGAUACCCUGGUAGUCCACGCUGUAAACGAUGGUCACUAGCUGUUUGGGAGCAAUCUUGAGUGGCUAAGCGAAAGUGAUAAGUGACCCACCUGGGGAGUACGAUCGCAAGAUUGAAACUCAAAGGAAUUGACGGGGGCCCGCACAAGCGGUGGAGCAUGUGGUUUAAUUCGAUGAUACGCGAGGAACCUUACCAGGGCUUAAAUGUGGAUUGACAGGGGCAGAGACGCCUUUUUCUUCGGACAAUUCACAAGGUGCUGCAUGGUUGUCGUCAGCUCGUGCCG
rnacentral:rRNA from 1 species